rnacentral:lncRNA from 1 species
AGACUGGAGUGGAGAAAGACUGUUGAAGUGUUGGUUUAACCUUAGAGGUAGGCUGGAGUGGAGAAGACUGUUGAAGUGUUGGUUUAACCUUAGAGGUAGGCUGGAGAGGAGAAGACUGUUGAAGUGUUGGUUUAAAUUAGAGGUAGGCUGGAGAAGAGAAUGACUGUUGAAGUGUUGGUUUAACCUUAGAGGUAGGCUGGCGAGGAGAAGACUGUUGAAGUGUUGGUUUACCUUAGAGGUAGGCUGGGUGGGAAGACUGUUGAGUGUUGGUUUAACCUUAGAGGUAGGCUGGUGGAGAAGAUGGUGAAGUGUUGAUAACCUUAGAGAUAGGCUGGAGAGGAGAAGACUGUUGAAGUGUUGGUUUAA